rnacentral:miRNA from 10 species
GCUGUUUUCGUGUGGUUCCUUGA